rnacentral:rRNA from 1 species
CCUACGGGAGGCAGCAGUGGGGGAUAUUGCACAAUGGGGGGAACCCUGAUGCAGCGACGCCGCGUGAGCGAAGAAGUACCUCGGUAUGUAAAGCUCUAUCAGCAGGGAAGAAAAUGACGGUACCUGACUAAUAAGCCCCGGCUAAAUACGUGCCAGCAGCCGCGGGAAUACGUAUGGGGCAAGCGUUAUCCGGAUUUACUGGGUGUAAAGGGAGCGCAGGGGGCCUGCCAAGUCUGGUGGGAAAACUCGGGGCCCAACCCCGGGCAUGCAUUGGAAACGGGCGGGCUGGAGUGUCGGAGGGGCAGGCGGAAUGCGGAGGGUAGCGGUGAAAUGCGUACAUAUUAGGAGGAACUACGGUGGCGAAGGCGGCAUGAUGGAGGAUGACUGACGCUGAGGCUCGAAAGCGUGGGGAGCAAACAGGAUUAGAUACCCGGGUAGUC